GGGGCAGUGCGCGNUGCUAUACAUGCAGUAGAACGCUGAAGAGAGGAGCUUGCUCUUCUUGGAUGAGUUGCGAACGGGUGAGUAACGCGUAGGUAACCUGCCUUGUAGCGGGGGAUAACUAUUGGAAACGAUAGCUAAUACCGCAUAACAAUGGAUGACACAUGUCAUUUAUUUGAAAGGGGCAAUUGCUCCACUACAAGAUGGACCUGCGUUGUAUUAGCUAGUAGGUGAGGUAAUGGCUCACCUAGGCGACGAUACAUAGCCGACCUGAGAGGGUGAUCGGCCACACUGGGACUGAGACACGGCCCAGACUCCUACGGGAGGCAGCAGUAGGGAAUCUUCGGCAAUGGGGGCAACCCUGACCGAGCAACGCCGCGUGAGUGAAGAAGGUUUUCGGAUCGUAAAGCUCUGUUGUAAGUCAAGAACGGGUGUGAGAGUGGAAAGUUCACACUGUGACGGUAGCUUACCAGAAAGGGACGGCUAACUACGUGCCAGCAGCCGCGGUAAUACGUAGGUCCCGAGCGUUGUCCGGAUUUAUUGGGCGUAAAGCGAGCGCAGGCGGUUUGAUAAGUCUGAAGUUAAAGGCUGUGGCUCAACCAUAGUUCGCUUUGGAAACUGUCAAACUUGAGUGCAGAAGGGGAGAGUGGAAUUCCAUGUGUAGCGGUGAAAUGCGUAGAUAUAUGGAGGAACACCGGUGGCGAAAGCGGCUCUCUGGUCUGUAACUGACGCUGAGGCUCGAAAGCGUGGGGAGCGAACAGGAUUAGAUACCCUGGUAGUCCACGCCGUAAACGAUGAGUGCUAGGUGUUGGAUCCUUUCCGGGAUUCAGUGCCGCAGCUAACGCAUUAAGCACUCCGCCUGGGGAGUACGACCGCAAGGUUGAAACUCAAAGGAAUUGACGGGGGCCCGCACAAGCGGUGGAGCAUGUGGUUUAAUUCGAAGCAACGCGAAGAACCUUACCAGGUCUUGACAUCCCGAUGCUAUUUCUAGAGAUAGAAAGUUACUUCGGUACAUCGGUGACAGGUGGUGCAUGGUUGUCGUCAGCUCGUGUCGUGAGAUGUUGGGUUAAGUCCCGCAACGAGCGCAACCCCUAUUGUUAGUUGCCAUCAUUCAGUUGGGCACUCUAGCGAGACUGCCGGUAAUAAACCGGAGGAAGGUGGGGAUGACGUCAAAUCAUCAUGCCCCUUAUGACCUGGGCUACACACGUGCUACAAUGGUUGGUACAACGAGUUGCGAGUCGGUGACGGCGAGCUAAUCUCUUAAAGCCAAUCUCAGUUCGGAUUGUAGGCUGCAACUCGCCUACAUGAAGUCGGAAUCGCUAGUAAUCGCGGAUCAGCACGCCGCGGUGAAUACGUUCCCGGGCCUUGUACACACCGCCCGUCACACCACGAGAGUUUGUAACACCCGAAGUCGGUGAGGUAACCUUUGGAGCCAGCCGCCUAAGGUGGACCAGAAAGGGG
rnacentral:rRNA from 1 species